UAUACAUGGUGUGUGCAGUGAGUGUAAGGUGUUGUAUAUGUGGUGUGUGCCGUGAGUGCAAGGUGUUGUAUACAUGGUGUGUGCAGUGAGUGUAAGGUGUUGUAUACAUGGUGUGUACAGUGAGUGCAAGGUGUUGUAUACAUGGUGUGUGCAGUGAGUGUAAGGUGUUGUAUACAUGGUGUGUGCAGUGAGUGUAAGGUGGUGUAUGCAGUGAGUGCAAGGUGUUGUAUACAUGAUGUGUGCAGUGAGUGUAAGGUGUUGUAUACGUGGUAUGUGCAGUGAGUGCAAGGUGUUGUAUACAUGGGGUGUGCAGUGAGUGCAAGGUGUUGUAUACAUGGUGUGUAAGGUGUUGUAUACAUGGUGUUUGCAGUGAGUGUAAGGUGUUGUAUACAUGUUGUGUGCAGUGAGUGGUUACACACAACACAGGCAAACUUAAGUACCUUUGACCAUGGCUGACAGCUUUAUACUUGCAGCAGUGAUAAACCAUAGAAACCACAAAAUAACUAAAUAUUGAUCGGCUUGAGCUUGGUUAACUGGCAACUUCAACUUAAGUUGACAUAUUUACAUGAUGUGAUACUCUGUUAGGCAACAGCUGUUAUUAUGCACACCAUUCAAGGUUGAUAAAUUUGAGCAUGUGACGUGAUGUGA